GUGUUGUCAGGAGGGGGAGACACCAGAGCACCAACUUCUCUCGCUUAAACCUCACGACAACCUUAAGAAGUAGGCAGCAGGAUCCCCUUCUUGGAAAUGCAGAAAGAGAGAAUGGGGGAGAUUGAGAGGCUUGCAGAAGGUGACGUCAUUAGGGAGAACAGUGGUUGAGGUCCAGCAGCUCCUGCAGAUGGGUGGUGGUGGAAGGAGGAGAGAAUGGGCCACGGGCAGGCCAAGGGCAAGCUUAGCAGCACUCAACAUCCUCUAGGAACUCAACAGAAGUCAAGAAUGCAGGCAGCUCAUGACGAAGACCUGCAGAGGCCCUGGUUUACCGAGCUCAUUCACAAUUACAGUCGGAGAAUUCAUCUUUGGUCAUUUUCUACUUUAGAAAUACGGAUUUGUUGGAGGCUUUAGUAUGCUAACAUGAACCACAAAUCUUCAGGAAGGAAGUACUCUGGGAUGUUUCUUCAAGACCUUUAAGCACAGGC